GGGCACUCAAAGGAGACUGCCGGUGAUAAACCGGAGGAAGGUGGGGAUGACGUCAAGUCAUCAUGGCCCUUACGACUAGGGCUACACACGUGCUACAAUGGUCCGUACAAAGGGAAGCCACCUCGCGAGAGCAAGCUAACCUCACAAAACCGAUCGUAGUCCGGAUCGCAGUCUGCAACUCGACUCCGUGAAGUCGGAAUCGCUAGUAAUCGUAGAUCAGAAUGUCGCGGUGAAUACGUUCCCGGGCCUUGUACACACCG
rnacentral:rRNA from 1 species